rnacentral:sRNA from 1 species
AAGGUCUUCUCUUUAUGUGACAAGUGUUAUUUACAAUCAAGGUUGAUUGUGUCUCUGUUACCACGGCCACCAAGAGGACUUGGUGAAGUUCUAGGACUUUUGUUACUUGAAUGGAUUUGGGGGAGAGUGAUUGAGGGGAUUUGAGAGGAUUUGAAGAUAAAUUUUGUUGUUGUUUAUUUGAGUAGAUUUCGAGAUAAGUGAGAGUGAAUUUGGAAGUAAAUUUU